rnacentral:rRNA from 1 species
AUACUGCUGGCCCUUGGGACCGGGAGAGGCGGAGGGUACCCCUGGGGUAGGGGUGAAAUCCUAUAAUCCCAGGGGGACCGCCAGUGGCGAAGGCGCUCCGCUGGAACGGGUCCGACGGUGAGGGACGAAGGCCAGGGGAGCAAACCGGAUUAGAUACCCGGGUAGUCCUGGCUGUAAAGGAUGCGGGCUAGGUGUCGGGCGAGCUUCGAGCUCGCCCGGUGCCGAAGGGAAGCCGUUAAGCCCGCCGCCUGGGGAGUACGACCGCAAGGCUGAAACUUAAAGGAAUUGGCGGGGGAGCACUACAAGGGGUGGAGCGUGCGGUUUAAUUGGAUUCAACGCCGGGAACCUCACCGGGGGCGACGGCAGGAUGAAGGCCAGGCUGAAGGUCUUGCCGGACACGCCGAGAGGAGGUGCAUGGCCGCCGUCAGCUCGUACCGUGAGGCGUCCACUUAAGUGUGGUAACGAGCGAGACCCGCGCCCCCAGUUGCCAGUCCUCCCCGCUGGGGAGGAGGCACUCUGGGGGGACCGCCGGCGAUAAGCCGGAGGAAGGAGCGGGCGACGGUAGGUCAGUAUGCCCCGAAACCCCCGGGCUACACGCGCGCUACAAUGGGCGGGACAAUGGGAUCCGACCCCGAAAGGGGAAGGGAAUCCCCUAAACCCGCCCCCAGUUCGGAUUGCGGGCUGCAACUCGCCCGCAUGAAGCUGGAAUCCCUAGUACCCGCGUGUCAU